rnacentral:rRNA from 1 species
UACGUAGGGACCAAGCGUUGUUCGGAUUUACUGGGCGUAAAGAGCGCGCAGGCGGUCGUGCAAGUCGCGUGUGAAAGCCCCCGGCUCAACUGGGGAGGGUCACGCGAUACUGCUCGACUUGAAGGCAGGAGAGGGAAGUGGAAUUCCCGGUGUAGUGGUGAAAUUCGUAGAUAUCGGGAAGAACACCCGUGGCGAAGGCGGUUCUCUGGGACGGUACUGACGCUGAGACGCGAAAGCGUGGGGAGCGAACAGG